rnacentral:rRNA from 1 species
GACGAACGCUGGCGGCGUGCCUAACACAUGCAAGUCGAACGGAGAUACGAUUUCGGUUGUAUCUUAGUGGCGAACGGGUGAGUAACGUGUGAGCAACCUGACUUUUAGAGGGGGAUAACACCUGGAAACAAGUGCUAAUACCGCAUAAGACCACGACCCGACAUCGGGAUGAGGUCAAAGGAGCAAUCCGCUAAGAGAGGGGCUCGCGUCCCAUUAGAUAGAUGGCGGGGUAACGGCCCACCAUGUCAGCGAUGGGUAGCCGAGCUGAGAGGCUGAUCGGCCACACUGGAACUGAGACACGGUCCAGACUCCUACGGGAGGCAGCAGUGGGGAAUAUUGGGCAAUGGGCGCAAGCCUGACCCAGCAACGCCGCGUGAGGGAAGAAGGCUUUCGGGUUGUAAACCUCUGUCCUUGGUGACGAAAAAAUGACGGUAGCCAAGGAGGAAGCCCCGGCUAACUACGUGCCAGCAGCCGCGGUAAAGUACAGUGU